UUGCUUUCGGGCAACACGAGUGGCGCACGGGUGAGUAACGCGUACGCAACCUACCUUUAUCAGGGGGAUACACACGGGAAACUGUGGAUAAUCCCGCAUACAAUUUACUGAUGGCAUCAUUGGUAGAUAAAAGAGAGAUCGGAUAGAGAUGGGCGUGCGUCUGAUUAGCUAGUUGGUGAGGUAACGGCUCACCAAGGCGACGAUCAGUAGGGGGCGUGAGAGCGUGAUCCCCCACACGGGUACUGAGACACGGACCCGACUCCUACGGGAGGCAGCAGUAAGGAAUAUUGGUCAAUGGGAGGAAUCCUGAACCAGCCAUGCCGCGUGCGGGAAGAAGGCCCUUCGGGUUGUAAACCGCUUUUGUCAGGGAAGAAUGACGGGGAUUUAUCCUUGGAGAGACGGUACCUGAAGAAUAAGCACCGGCUAACUCCGUGCCAGCAGCCGCGGUAAUACGGAGGGUGCAAGCGUUAUCCGGAAUCACUGGGUUUAAAGGGUACGUAGGCGGUCUAAUAAGUCAGGUGUGAAAUACCGCGGCCUAACUGCGGAACUGCACUUGAUACUGUUAGACUUGAGUAGGGUGGAGGUACACGGAAUGCAUCAUGUAGCGGUGAAAUGCUUAGAUAUGAUGUA
rnacentral:rRNA from 1 species